GGUUAAGCGAAUAAGCGUACACGGUGGAUGCCUAGGCAAUCAGAGGCGAUGAAGGACGUGCUAAUCUGCGAAAAGCGUCGGUAAGGUGAUAUGAACCGUUAUACCCGACGAUAUCCGAAUGGGGAAACCCAGUAUCCAAUGGAUACUAUCAUUAACUGAAUCCAUAGGUUAAUGAGGCGAACCGGGAGAACUGAAACAUCUCAGUACCCCGAGGAAAAGAAAUCAACCGAGAUUCCCCUAGUAGCGGCGAGCGAACGGGGAGCAGCCCAGAGUCUUAAUCAAUAGCAGUGUCAGGAGAACGGUCUGGAAAGUCCGGCAGUAAAGGGUGAUAGCCCCGUAUCUGAAGAUGCUGUUGUUGUGAACUCGACGAGUAGGGCGGGACACGUGUUAUCCUGUCUGAAUAUGGGGGGACCAUCCUCCAAGGCUAAAUACUCCUGAUUGACCGAUAGUGAACCAGUACCGUGAGGGAAAGGCGAAAAGAACCCCGGCGAGGGGAGUGAAAAAGAACCUGAAACCGUGUACGUACAAGCAGUAGGAGCCUCUUUAUGGGGUGACUGCGUACCUUUUGUAUAAUGGGUCAGCGACUUAUAUUCUGUAGCAAGGUUAACCGCAUAGGGGAGCCGUAGGGAAACCGAGUCUUAACUGGGCGAAUGAGUUGCAGGGUAUAGACCCGAAACCCGGUGAUCUAUCCAUGGGCAGGUUGAAGGUUGGGUAACACUAACUGGAGGACCGAACCGACUAAUGUUGAAAAAUUAGCGGAUGACUUGUGGAUGGGGGUGAAAGGCCAAUCAAACCGGGAGAUAGCUGGUUCUCCCCGAAAGCUAUUUAGGUAGCGCCUCGUGAACUCAUCUUCGGGGGUAGAGCACUGUUUCGACUAGGGGGUCAUCCCGACUUACCAACUCGAUGCAAACUGCGAAUACCGAAGAAUGUUAUCACGGGAGACACACGGCGGGUGCUAACGUCCGUCGUGAAGAGGGAAACAACCCAGACCGCCAGCUAAGGUCCCAAAGUCAUGGUUAAGUGGGAAACGAAGUGGGAAGGCUCAGACAGCCAGGAUGUUGGCUUAGAAGCAGCCAUCAUUUAAAGAAAGCGUAAUAGCUCACUGGUCGAGUCGGCCCGCGCGGAAGAUGUAACGGGGCUAAACCAUGCACCGAAGCUGCGGCAGCGACACAAAGUGUUGUUGGGUAGGGGAGCGUUCUGUAAGCCUGCGAAGGUGUACUGUGAGGUAUGCUGGAGGUAUCAGAAGUGCGAAUGCUGACAUAAGUAACGAUAAUGCGGGUGAAAAACCCGCACGCCGGAAGACCAAGGGUUCCUGUCCAACGUUAAUCGGGGCAGGGUGAGUCGACCCCUAAGGCGAGGCUGAAAAGCGUAGUCGAUGGGAAACGGGUUAAUAUUCCCGUACUGGUGGUAACUGCGAUGGGGGAACGGAGAAGGCUAGGUUGUCCGGGCGACGGUCGUCCCGGUUCAAGCAGGUAGGCAGAGUGAUUAGGCAAAUCCGGUCACUUAAUGCUGAGAUGUGAUGACGAACCACCAAGGUGGUGAAGCAAUUGAUGCCCCGCUUCCAGGAAAAGCCUCUAAGCUUCAGGUUACCAACAAUCGUACCCCAAACCGACACAGGUGGUCAGGUAGAGAAUACUCAGGCGCUUGAGAGAACUCGGGUGAAGGAACUAGGCAAAAUGGUGCCGUAACUUCGGGAGAAGGCACGCUGGCGGUAGGUAAAGUCCCUCGCGGACGGCGCUGAAGCCAGUCGAAGAUACCAGCUGGCUGCAACUGUUUAUUAAAAACACAGCACUGUGCAAACACGAAAGUGGACGUAUACGGUGUGACGCCUGCCCGGUGCUGGAAGGUUAAUUGAUGGGGUCAGCCGUAAGGCGAAGCUCCUGAUCGAAGCCCCAGUAAACGGCGGCCGUAACUAUAACGGUCCUAAGGUAGCGAAAUUCCUUGUCGGGUAAGUUCCGACCUGCACGAAUGGCGUAAUGAUGGCCAGGCUGUCUCCACCCGAGACUCAGUGAAAUUGAACUCGCUGUGAAGAUGCAGUGUACCCGCGGCAAGACGGAAAGACCCCGUGAACCUUUACUAUAGCUUGACACUGAACAUUGAGCCUUGAUGUGUAGGAUAGGUGGGAGGCUUUGAAGUGUGGACGCCAGUCUGCAUGGAGCCAACCUUGAAAUACCACCCUUUAACGUUUGAUGUUCUAACCUAGGCCCAUAAACUGGGUCGGGGACCGUGUCUGGUGGGUAGUUUGACUGGGGCGGUCUCCUCCUAAAGAGUAACGGAGGAGCACGAAGGUUGGCUAAGCAUGGUCGGACAUCAUGCGGUUAGUGCAAAGGCAUAAGCCAGCUUGACUGCGAGAGUGACGGCUCGAGCAGGUACGAAAGUAGGUCUUAGUGAUCCGGUGGUUCUGAAUGGAAGGGCCAUCGCUCAACGGAUAAAAGGUACUCCGGGGAUAACAGGCUGAUACCGCCCAAGAGUUCAUAUCGACGGCGGUGUUUGGCACCUCGAUGUCGGCUCAUCACAUCCUGGGGCUGAAGUAGGUCCCAAGGGUAUGGCUGUUCGCCAUUUAAAGUGGUACGCGAGCUGGGUUUAGAACGUCGUGAGACAGUUCGGUCCCUAUCUGCCGUGGGCGUUGGAAGAUUGAGAGGGGUUGCUCCUAGUACGAGAGGACCGGAGUGAACGCACCACUGGUGUUCGGGUUGUCAUGCCAAUGGCAUUGCCCGGUAGCUAAGUGCGGAAGAGAUAACCGCUGAAAGCAUCUAAGCGGGAAACUUGCCUCGAGAUGAGUCUUCCCUGUCGCUUUAAGUGACCUAAAGGAACGUUUAAGACUAAGACGUUGAUAGGCUGGGUGUGUAAGCGUAGCGAUACGUUGAGCUAACCAGUACUAAUGAACCGUGAGGCUUAACCUG
rnacentral:rRNA from 1 species